GACGAACGCUGGCGGCGUGCCUAAUACAUGCAAGUUGAGCGCUGAAGGUUGGUACUUGUACCAACUGGAUGAGCAGCGAACGGGUGAGUAACGCGUGGGGAAUCUGCCUUUGAGCGGGGGACAACAUUUGGAAACGAAUGCUAAUACCGCAUAAAAACUUUAAACACAAGUUUUAAGUUUGAAAGAUGCAAUUGCAUCACUCAAAGAUGAUCCCGCGUUGUAUUAGCUAGUUGGUGAGGUAAAGGCUCACCAAGGCGAUGAUACAUAGCCGACCUGAGAGGGGGAGCGGCCACAUUGGGACUGAGACACGGCCCAAACUCCUACGGGAGGCAGCAGUAGGGAAUCUUCGGCAAUGGACGAAAGUCUGACCGAGCAACGCCGCGUGAGUGAAGAAGGUUUUCGGAUCGUAAAACUCUGUUGGUAGAGAAGAACGUUGGUGAGAGUGGAAAGCUCAUCAAGGGACGGUAACGACCCAGAAAGGGACGGCUAACUACGU
rnacentral:rRNA from 1 species